UACGGGGGGAGCAAGCGUUGUUCGGAUUUACUGGGCGUAAAGGGCGCGUAGGCGGCCACCGCAAGUCGACUGUGAAAUCUCCGGGCUUAACCCGGAAAGGUCAGCCGAUACUGCGGGGCUAGAGUGCAGAAGGGGCAACUGGAAUUCUCGGUGUAGCGGUGAAAUGCGUAGAUAUCAAGAGGAACACCUGAGGUGAAGACGGGGUUGCUGGGCUGACACUGACGCUGAGGCGCGAAAGCUAGGGGAGCAAACGGG
rnacentral:rRNA from 1 species